rnacentral:sRNA from 1 species
AGAGGCUCUCGGGAGUCCGAGAGAGCACUGCAUUCUGGGAUUUGUAGUUUCUCUGGUGGAUACUGUCGGCGUUGGGACCGAGGCAGCCCUGCAUCCUGGGACUUGUAGUUUCUCGCACUGCGUGUUAAGAUUUUGGUGGUUUUAGAGAUUGUCCGUGCCUCUUAUUUAGGGGUACGCCUGGAGGCUAGAAUCAUUUUCCGCAAAGGAAACAGUUUUUAGUGAUGUCGUCCACGAGAAAAAAAAAGAUUUAACCCUGGCUUCUGGGCUUUGUCAUUCUCGUACAGCCCUCUGCCCCUCCACACUGUUAUAAAGAAGAUCCCUGUUUAUUGGGAAGGAUAUGUUCGAUGCUUACAUACGCCAUCUGGCAAAUCAGAAGAUGGAAGGCUAAUUUAUACUGGCAAUAUGGCCCGAGCAGUGUUUGGCUGGAGUGCAGUGGCAUGAUCUUGGUUCACCAUACUCUUCGCCUCCCAUGUUCAA